GGGGAAUGUAUCGUGCCUCUUCCUACGGUGGGAUGCGGAGUGCCACAUCAGCUCUCAACCGGCCACUUGUGUUGUAGGGGUAAUCUGGGUAUCGCCCUGCUCUGCCUGUGGGCGCUGCCCGUGGCUGGCGCCGAGGUGCCGCAGCCAGGCCAGGAAGCCCUGCGCUUGCAGCAACAACAGCAACGCGACCUGCAGCAAUUACACCUGGAGCAGCGCCAACGCCAGAUGCAACGCGGCAGCUUCGGUACACCAGCGGCCAUACCCGCCUUGCCCACGGACAUCGCCAGGGAUGAACACUGCUGGCCCUUGAGCGGUACGCGCCUGGCCGGGGUCACGCUGUUCAGCCGUGCCGAGUUGGACAAACACAUCGAGCCCUACGUGGCGCCUUGCAUGGGCGUCACCCAGAUCAACCGCCUGCUGGCCGAGAUCACCCGGCUGUAUGUCGAGGCCGGUUAUAUCGCCAGCCGCCCCUACCUGAUCAGUGCACUCACCGCCCGUCACCAGCAUACAAUGAUUUAUAUAUGACAUUUACAGCGCUAGACGUAUACUGAACAGACUCGGCCAAUGCUGUAUUGCGCGUCAGACCGAGAAAAACUAUA
rnacentral:rRNA from 1 species